rnacentral:rRNA from 1 species
UACAGAGGUCUCAAGCGUUGUUCGGAUUCAUUGGGCGUAAAGGGUGUGUAGGUGGCGCCGUAAGUCGGGUGUGAAAUUUCGGAGCUUAACUCCGAAACUGCAUUCGAUACUGCGGUGCUUGAGGACUGGAGAGGAGACUGGAAUUCAUGGUGUAGCAGUGAAAUGCGUAGAGAUCAUGAGGAAGACCAGUGGCGAAGGCGGGUCUCUGGACAGUUCCUGACACUGAGACACGAAGGCCAGGGGAGCAAACUGG